GCAGGCAGCAGUCCCGUUACACAGGACGAGACAGAAACUGGAAGGGAUGGACAUUCCAAAAACACGUACUGGGGGCAGGGGCAGAGGAAACCAGGCCCCAUCCAGAUCCCACCCGAGGUCCUGGUUGCGUCCCCAAGAUCCUGCCCCGGGUCAUUAAUGUUCCCAGAACGCCCGAAUCUCUCCGUCGACGCCCUACCCAGGCCCCGCCCAACGGUCGCGGCCUCGACUCUGACCGCCCAGCCAAGACAACCCCUCCGGCGCGCCCGUCGCCGGAAGCUCUACGUCCAGUUUCCGCCUGGCUCCGCCCUACUGCCGUCCUGGCUCCAAUGACCGUAGCCGUUUCCCUCCCGUUACCGGAAGUGCUUCUGCGAAUCUCCGCCCCAACCCGCCCGCCGAAUUCAGGGCGAAGGUCUGACCAGUACGCGCUUCCCAGGCGCUGCCAGAGACGCUCCACCCAGAAUCUGCCCCAACCCCGCCCAGAGGCGGAUUGACGUCUCAAGACCCAUCUUGCCCGGGAGAGAAGCCCAGAGGAGGAAAGCCCAGGAGUCAGGAAUGACUCUUUCUCAGGUAAAGUCGUAUCUUGGUUCGUUGUUCUGUCCUGUGUCCUCACCUCCACGUGGCCGUGCUCAUCACACUCUGAAGUGUCCCUCCUGACAUGUUUGCUCAUGGUCACCCCAGGGCCUUCCCUCAGAUUCCAGCUCACGUGUUUCCAUAUGUGUAUUUAAUGGAGAUCAAAAGUACUUGUUACUGUUUUUUAAAACAUCUUGCAGGGGGUGCAUGGCGGGCUCAGAGGGUAGAUCAUGGGACUCUUGAUCUGCAAUUAGUGAGUUUGAGCCCCAUGUUGGGAGUAGAGAUUACUUAAAAAAAAAAUAUGUGUUUACAGGGUUGUUUUGUAAGCAAACUAAAUAGAAUAACAUUGGCCAUUUUAUUUACAUCUAAUACAAUUUGCACAUGUUUAUUUUACCAGAAAUGCACAUUAGUAACAAAAUGAUAGAUAAUGAAGAUUUAUGUAAAAAUAGAUGUCAUUUAGAGACUGGUAUUUUGAUUUCAGUUAUUUUCAGUGUGUGUGUUUUGUGUCCACACCUGUGCGUGAACAGUAGCUCGUGGUGUGUAAAAAAGACAUCGUCACUCCAUAUCUGACACGUUUUCCAUGGCCUUAAAUUUAUUUCUAUACCAUCAUGGGAGUGGGAUAAUAGCGGUAGGUAUACGGUGCGUGUGCAUAUGUGCGUGCAUGCAUAUAUAUUGACCUUUUAUCCAGGUUUAGGUUUCAGCCUUGAACUUGUUUCAGGUUUUCUCCAUUAGCAAACCCUCUGUCAACAGACUUUUACUGUUGUAAGCAUUACUUCACUCUGUGCUGAUAUGGGUUCCAUCGUAAAGCCUGACCACGUGGUUCAGGUGCAGGCUCUGCCAUUUAUUACCUGUUUGAUCAGAGGCAUGUUCAUUGGAGUGUGUGUGACAGAGUUCGGUCCUUUGUAAGGUGGGAACAAAUACUAAUUUAAUGGGUUGCAAUGUCCUUAUACAAGUUAACACUUACAAAGCAUUAGAGUGAUGCUUACCAUACGGGAAGUGUUCAGAACUUCAGAUGGUUUUAUUAUGAGAUUCCCAUUUUGCAAUUUAUACCUUUCAUUGACACUUCUAUAGACUUUGUCAACCCCGAAGACGCUACUCAUGCUAUCGCUCAUGUAGAAAUUAGCUGUCAUUCGGUGUAUACAACAUACUAUCUAGAAUUUGCAUAUAGUUUACCAUUUGUCGAUGUUUUGCAUUUGGGUAUUUUAUCUGGCACAAUAUUGUAAAAACCCUCAGUUCAGCUGAAGGAAAUCCUGUGAUGGAAAAGUGUAACAAAUCAAAAUCAGGGAUGUAUGACUUGCUCAAAAUGAUCUUUUGUGGAUCUGUUGAAGCACUCAUUUCUAAUUGACCCUUAUACCUCUCUCCUCCUCUCAUUUUUAUGAAAUAAGUUUCCUAGUAGCUUCUUGGUGAAAUGUGCUUUCAUUUCAGGGACGGUUGACCUUCAGGGAUGUGGCCAUAGAAUUCUCUCCGGAGGAGUGGGAGUGCCUGGACCCUGCCCAGAGGGCCUUGUACAGGGACGUGAUGGUGGAGAAC
rnacentral:lncRNA from 1 species